rnacentral:tRNA from 1 species
UCCUUGAUAGUCUAGUGGUUAGGAUAUCUGCUUGUCACUGAGUCUACUUGACAGUACUAGGCGCGCAGGUGACCUGGGUUCAAUUCCCAGUCAGGGAG